rnacentral:rRNA from 1 species
AGUGAACGCUGGCGGUAGGCCUAACACAUGCAAGUCGAACGGCAGCACAGUAAGAGCUUGCUCUUACGGGUGGCGAGUGGCGGACGGGUGAGGAAUACAUCGGAAUCUACUUUUUCGUGGGGGAUAACGUAGGGAAACUUACGCUAAUACCGCAUACGACCUACGGGUGAAAGCAGGGGAUCUUCGGACCUUGCGCGAUUGACUGAGCCGAUGUCGGAUUAGCUAGUUGGCGGGGUAAAGGCCCACCACGGCGACGAUCCGUAGCUGGUCUGAGAGGAUGAUCAGCCACACUGGAACUGAGACACGGUCCAGACUCCUACGGGAGGCAGCAGUGGGGAAUAUUGGACAAUGGGCGCAAGCCUGAUCCAGCCAUACCGCGUGGGUGAAGAAGGCCUUCGGGUUGUAAAGCCCUUUUGUUGGGAAAGAAAAGCAGCAGGUUAAUACCCCGCUGUUCUGACGGUACCCAAAGAAUAAGCACCGGCUAACUUCGUG